GUCACGAGUUUGAUCCUGGCUCAGAACGAACGCUGGCGGCAGGCCUAACACAUGCAAGUCGAGCGGGACCUUCGGGUCUAGCGGCGGACGGGUUAGUAACGCGUGGGAACGUGCCCAAAGGGACGGAAUAGCCUCGGGAAACUGAGAGUAAUACCGUCUGUGCCCCUCGGGGGAAAGAUUUAUCGCCUUUGGAUCGGCCCGCGUUGGAUUAGGUAGUUGGUGGGGUAAUGGCCUACCAAGCCGACGAUCCAUAGCUGGUUUGAGAGGAUGAUCAGCAACACUGGGACUGAGACACGGCCCAGACUCCUACGGGAGGCAGCAGUGGGGAAUCUUAGACAAUGGGGGAAACCCUGAUCUAGCCAUGCCGCGUGAGCGAUGAAGGCCUUAGGGUUGUAAAGCUCUUUCAGAUGGGAAGAUAAUGACGGUACCAUCAGAAGAAGCCCCGGCUAACUCCGUG
rnacentral:rRNA from 1 species